rnacentral:ncRNA from 1 species
AAAAAAGCGAUGACAGAGGAAAAGUAAGAUUUGUUUAUUUUAUCCAGAGAGCUUCGAAUGCUGAGAAGAAGUUAAAAGACAAAUCAGAACAAUGGCCUCUAUGAGCUUCGUGCUGAAUGUAUCCCUAAUGAUUAGUAGGCUUCGACGGGGUGGUGCCCGUUAUCAUAACCAAAGUAUGAAUUGUUCAUUGCAAACGGUGAUGUUACCACUUCUAAGUGGCUACCUUUGUAAAUCAAGAGUACUUAUAGAGGCUGUAUAUGUGAAUAUAUAGUAAAAUAAGGUGGUACCACGUAAAUAAAACCACGUCCUUAUC